UGUAGCCAUUUUUUGGGUCCA
rnacentral:piRNA from 1 species